GAGCGCCCCGCAAGGGGAGCGGCAGACGGGUGAGUAACGCGUGGGAAUCUACCCUUUUCUACGGAAUAACGCAGGGAAACUUGUGCUAAUACCGUAUAAGCCCUUCGGGGGAAAGAUUUAUUGGGAAAGGAUGAGCCCGCGUUGGAUUAGCUAGUUGGUGGGGUAAAGGCCUACCAAGGCGACGAUCCAUAGCUGGUCUGAGAGGAUGAUCAGUCACACUGGAACUGAGACACGGUCCAGACUCCUACGGGAGGCAGCAGUGGGGAAUAUUGGACAAUGGGCGAAAGCCUGAUCCAGCCAUGCCGCGUGUGUGAAGAAGGUCUUCGGAUUGUAAAGCACUUUAAGUUGGGAGGAAGGGCAUUAACCUAAUACGUUAGUGUUUUGACGUUACCAACAGAAUAAGCACCGGCUAACUUCGUGCCAGCAGCCGCGGUAAUACGAAGGGUGCAAGCGUUAAUCGGAAUUACUGGGCGUAAAGCGCGCGUAGGUGGUUCAGCAAGUUGGAUGUGAAAGCCCCGGGCUCAACCUGGGAACUGCAUCCAAAACUACUGAGCUAGAGUACGGUAGAGGGUGGUGGAAUUUCCUGUGUAGCGGUGAAAUGCGUAGAUAUAGGAAGGAACACCAGUGGCGAAGGCGACCACCUGGACUGAUACUGACACUGAGGUGCGAAAGCGUGGGGAGCAAACAGGAUUAGAUACCCUGGUAGUCCACGCCGUAAACGAUGUCAACUAGCCGUUGGAAUCCUUGAGAUUUUAGUGGCGCAGCUAACGCAUUAAGUUGACCGCCUGG
rnacentral:rRNA from 1 species